rnacentral:tRNA from 1 species
UGGCUCAGUGGUAGAGCGCUUGCCUUGCACGCAAGAGGCCUUGGGUUUGAUUCCUCA